ACCAUAUCACUCUGCAUAUACUAGAUAAUACCUAAUGUUGAAAGUGAAGCAGAGUUGAGCCUGAUUAGUUCUUGGAUGGUAGACCACUAGUAAAUACCAGGAAU
rnacentral:rRNA from 1 species